AGAGUUUGAUCCUGGCUCAGGAUGAACGCUAGCGGCAGGCUUAACACAUGCAAGUCGAGGGGUAACAGUUCUAAGCAAUUAGAAGCUGACGACCGGCGCACGGGUGCGUAACGCGUAUGCAACCUACCUUUAACUGGAGAAUAACCCGGAGAAAUUCGGACUAAUACUCCAUAAGAUCUUAGAAAGGCAUCUUUUCGAGAUUAAAGAUUUAUCGGUUAUAGAUGGGCAUGCGUGACAUUAGUUUGUUGGUGAGGUAACGGCUCACCAAGACUACGAUGUCUAGGGGUUCUGAGAGGAUUAUCCCCCACACUGGUACUGAGACACGGACCAGACUCCUACGGGAGGCAGCAGUGAGGAAUAUUGGUCAAUGGGCGAAAGCCUGAACCAGCCAUGCCGCGUGCAGGAUGACGGCCCUAUGGGUUGUAAACUGCUUUUAUAUGGGAAGAAACCUUCGUACGUGUACGGAGCUGACUGUACCAUAAGAAUAAGCACCGGCUAACUCCGUGCCAGCAGCCGCGGUAAUACGGAGGGUGCAAGCGUUAUCCGGAUUUAUUGGGUUUAAAGGGUGCGUAGGCGGAUCAGUAAGUCAGUGGUGAAAUCUCUCGGCUCAACCGAGGAACUGCCAUUGAUACUGCUAAUCUAGAGUUUAGUUGAAGUAGGCGGAAUGUAGCAUGUAGCGGUGAAAUGCAUAGAUAUGCUACAGAACACCGAUUGCGAAGGCAGCUUACUAAGCUAAAACUGACGCUCAGGCACGAAAGCGUGGGGAUCAAGCAGGAUUAGAUACCCUGGUAGUCCACGCCGUAAACUAUGAUCACUCGUUGUUGGCGAUACACUGUCAGCGACUGAGCGAAAGUAUUAAGUGAUCCACCUGGGAAUUACGAUCGCAAGGUUGAAACUCAAAGGAAUUGACGGGGGCCCGCACAAGCGGUGGAGCAUGUGGUUUAAUUCGAUGAUACGCGAGGAACCUUACCUGGGCUUAAAUGUUAGAUGACCUCUCGAGAAAUCGGGAUUCCCUUCGGGGCAUCUUACAAGGUGCUGCAUGGUUGUCGUCAGCUCGUGCCGUGAGGUGUUGGGUUAAGUCCCAUAACGAGCGCAACCCCUAUUCUUAGUUGCCAUCAGGUAAUGUUGGGGACUUUAAGGAAAUUGCCUACGUAAGUAGUGAGGAAGGUGGGGAUGACGUCAAAUCAGCACGGCCCUUAUGUCCAGGGCUACACACGUGCUACAAUGGCCGGUACAGAGGGAAGCUACCUGGUGACAGGAUGCAAAUCUCGAAAACCGGUCUCAGUUCGGAUUGGAGUCUGCAACUCGACUCCAUGAAGCUGGAAUCGCUAGUAAUCGCACAUCAGCCAUGGCGCGGUGAAUACGUUCCCGGGCCUUGUACACACCGCCUGUCAAGCCAUGGAAGUUGGGGGUACCUAAAGUCCGUAACCGCAAGGAGCGGCCUAGGGUAAAACCAAUAAUUGGGGCAAAGUCGAAAUAAGGUA
rnacentral:rRNA from 1 species